GUGCAUGCGCCCCCUUAAUGGCCGCCCCCAGCGCUCUGGAUCCAAAGACAAUGCCGCCAGCAUCCCGACCUCCCCGGCUCAAAGGAGGAGUGAGAGACCCAGGAGCUGCAGCCACAGAGCCAGCAAGAAAACCCUGAGCACUUUCCUUCACUGCACAAGCACAGCACAGACACAAGCACCACUUUCCUCGGGAAUUACAGAGCAUAGUUCAGUGCACAGAGGAUUGUUGUUUUGGAGUGUCAUUUGUUUGGGACUGCAACCCGCCGUAUUGGUUUCCCCUAUACCAUUGUUGAUAUAGGGUCAACCGGUUAUUAUUUCAUUUGUGUUAAUAAAUAUGGAAGUUUUUAAUUGGAA